rnacentral:rRNA from 1 species
GCAUAUCAAUAAGCGGAGGAAAAGAAACCAACAGGGAUUGCCCUAGUAACGGCGAGUGAAGCGGCAACAGCUCAAAUUUGAAAUCUGGCCUCGGCCCGAGUUGUAAUUUGCAGAGGAUGCUUCUGGCGCGGUGCCUUCCGAGUUCCCUGGAACGGGACGCCACAGAGGGUGAGAGCCCCGUAUGGUCGGACACCAAGCCUGUGUGAAGCUCCUUCGACGAGUCGAGUAGUUUGGGAAUGCUGCUCUAAAUGGGAGGUAAAUCUCUUCUAAAGCUAAAUACCGGCCAGAGACCGAUAGCGCACAAGUAGAGUGAUCGAAAGAUGAAAAGCACCUUGAAAAGGGGGUUAAAUAGUACGUGAAAUUGUUGAAAGGGAAGCACUUAUGACCAGACUUGGGCCGGGCGGCUCAUCAGGGGUUCUCCCCUGUGCACUCCGCCCGGCACAGGCCAGCAUCGGUUUUCGCGGGGGGAUAAGACCGACGGGAACGUAGCACCCUCCGGGGUGUGUUAUAGCCCGGCGGACGAUACCCUCGCGGGGACCGAGGUCCGCGCUCCGCAAGGAUGCUGGCGUAAUGGUCAUCAGUGACCCGUCUUGAAACACGGACC